GCAUACCCAUGGCAUAUGGAAGUUCCCAGGCUAGGGGUCGAAUUGGAGCCGUAGCCGCUGGCAUACGCCACAGCCAGAGCAAUGCAGGAUCCGAGCCAUGUCUGAGAACUUCAACACAGCUCACGGCAAUGCCGGAUCCUUAACCCACCGAGCGAGGCCAGGGAUCGAACCUGUGUCCUCAUGGAUGCUAGUCAGAGUCGUUUCCACUGAGCCACGACGGGAACUCCCCUCCUUUUGGUUAAUCCUAUAACAUUCUGUACUGUUUGAGGCAUUAUAUUUUGCUUUGUGUUAUAAUUACUUAACUACAUGUCUCAUGGCCCUUUGAGGACAGAGGAGAUUCAUCUUAUUUCCUAGUGUCUAGCUCAAUCUCUGGUACGGAGCAGGGGCUCAGAAAGUAUUUCCUGUCCCAAGUCCACCCCAUACCACUGUAGGCCGUGUGAGUUUAUACAAUACACCUUCUGAGUAAAGGCAGAUUGUGUUUCCUCAUAUCAAAGCAAGCAUUUCUUCUUAUCACACAUCUAAAGGAUGACAGGAUGAGUUCUGAAAUUUGGUAGUUUCUUCUAGAAUUCCAGCCAAAGGCAUCUGUGAGGAUAAAGGAGUUCUAAGGUGUGAUCAGGGAUUUUGUUGUGGCUAAUGGCACACUUUGGGUGGCAUUUCUAAAGCAUUGCCUAGUGCUUCUGGUUGGUAGACCUGAGCUGAGUGACGGAGGGCUGUGCAUCAAGGCAAAAGUCAGGCAGCUCAGCCUGGUUCAUGGUUUUUUUUCCUCUCCUGUAGGAGAUAUUCCGUUCAAGACCCAGAUUCAUUCAUUGAUUUAUGUAAUUUUUAAAACCUACCAAAUACCCAAAGAUCUUUGGGAAUGUUUCCAAAUUUUAUCAAAGACACAGAAAUACAAUAAACAGAAAUCAAACUUCAUGGCAAUUCCCUAAGCAUAUUUUAACCCCCAACUAAAAGUUAUGUUUAAAUGAUGGUUACGGACCAUCACUUCAUGGAGACAGGAUGAAAAAUAGAAGAGAUUAAAAAUUUCCAGCUAAAUCAUAUCUAAAUUGGCAGGGACCAAGUUCAUUUAGAUAUUCAAAAAUUUGCAGAUAAAGAAGAAAGUAGCGGGAAUGGUUCUGCAAUGCAGUGUUUUUCAAAAUAAAUCAACUUGGCCAAACCCCAAAACUGAGAAAAUGGGAGCUGUGUGAUUUGUCUGAUACGCAAUGCAUAAAGAAUUAUGCCUCUGGAAAAAUUAUUUUAUUUGACCCCAUGAGAAUGAAAGUCUUAGCUAUCAAAAAAGAAAGCACAUUUUUGGAUGGAACUAUGUGCCAAGCCAUAUGGCACAGCAUGACAGUCUCCUGCCUGGGAACUUCUUGUCCCAGUUUUUCUGCCACUAACCAGCUGAGUGACUCUGCCUGAAGAUCUGCCCAUUUUUAUACUUGAAAAACUGAACAUUGGCCAAUGAGGGCAGAGAGGAACACUGUGGGUUGCUAAUUAGUCUUACUAAAGAGUCACCCACUUUUUCGAUGCUAAAGUUAAGAGAAUUCAUCCACCAACUUCCUCACCCAACGUGCCCUUCUUCCCUGGACAUCUACUCCAAGCUCUGUGCACCUGAUUCUUGAGUAUUUGGCAGCCAGGGUGUUCCCAUGGAAACCAGUUCUACUCUGGGAGAGUUUUCCAAUCUGGCUAUAAAUUGGGGUUAUGAGGGCAGCCUCCAUCCUGCCAAAAAACAAAGCCAUCCUUUCAUAGGAGCAAGAAGCUCAUGCUUUACCACAUGUUUAUCCAACAUCCUCCAUAAAAACCCUUUGUGGUGUUGACUGGAUCACCUCUCACUGACCUUUCUCUUAUGUUCUAAAUGUUCUUCUCAUGCCAAGCUUAUGGAGAGUUUUUACUCUUACUGCAAUAGUAGGGUUGUCAGAUUUAACAAAUAAAAAUACAGAAUAUCCAGCAAAAUUUGCACUUGAGAUAAACAACAAGGAAUUUUUAAGUAUACAAUAUUUGGGACAUACAUUAAAAAAUUAUUUGUUUGAAGUUGAAUAUAACGGGGUCUCUUGUUGGCAGUUCUAUGUUCAAACAUCCUAAUUUUCACAUCCACUGGAAUGUUUGUUUCUUCCGUUUCUUUCUCAUAAUCCAUUACUACUUUGCUGAUCUAAAGAGAACACGCAAUCUCCCUCCCUCAAAAGUUAUCAAAAACACCUAAUAGAUACACUUUUCAUUAAUAACUGUGCUGACAUUUGUGUGUUCUCUGAGAACUACCACUAUGACUGGCUUUCAGUAUUUACCUCAUUAUUUCUGUCUCUAUCACCACUUGUCUCACUUUCUUAAAUAAAAAAGAAAAAUCCUUUAUUUCAACCAUGGGAUGUGAAGGACAGGGGUUCUCAAAUCCCAUGAGUUCCGAAUCAGAGAAAAGAAUGGCCACUCGGUACCCACUCUUUCUGUUGCUAAGUAGCGUCUGUAGGAAGUGAAGAUGGCUCAGCUGUGGUAAACACUUGGGGAAGGCAACUGAGUUUCCCUUUUUCCAGUUAAUAAUCUGGGGGAUGGCUUGGGAAUCGGCAACACCCAAAGUCUUCACGGCUGGCUUCUACCCUGGCCAUUGUCUCCGUCAAGCACUUCCGCCUCCAGGAAGGCUGCGGCCCCGCCCCAGGGUCUGGCCAGAGGCCAGAGAGCAGAGUCUGUGUGGAAAGCUGCUGAUGGACUCUGGGUUCGAUGGCCUAACACGAGCUGGUGCCACACUCCGGGAGGUGACAAGGAGCUAAUUACAUGGAGGAAAGAGAGCCAGCAGAAGAGGUCAUUGCAAAGGGUGGAUUUCUUCCUGAUUAACUGCGCGGGGAGACACAACCGGAAGGAACAGUACGGGGCAGUGUUUGUGCCAUCGGAGAUAAGCACCACGUAUCUGGCGAGGCGGACAGUGACUAAACUCCUGGGAGCCUUGAACUUGGAAACUCAGCUGCCCUUUGUGGAGGAAACGAGGGUGAAUCACCAUGUGCUCAAGAGUACCUCCCCCAAGACUCUAGCAAGUCUCCCCCACGUUCAAGUGAGGUGACCAGGGGUCAAGAUGCAGGCAUCAGGAGGGCUGAGCCAGCAACAUAUAGACGUCCCCCAGCUAGGAGUCAAAUCGGAGCUGGAGCUACCCGCCUACACCACAGCCACGGCAACACCAGAUCCAAGCGGCAUCUUUCACCUACACCACAGCUUGUGGCAACGCCAGAUCCUUAACCCACUGAGGGAGGCCAGGGAUUGAACCCACAUCUUCAUGGAUACUAGUUGGGCUCUUUACUCAGUAAGUCACAACAGGAACUCCAGUAUACACUUUUAGCAGUGUAGCUGGGUCCUUCCUCAAGAGGUACCCCUCCUUUUACUGUGAUCUUGGCAGAGUUAGAACAAGGACUACCUGGCACCAAUGAUGUGCUCAACAAGGCUGGUUCCUUUUUUCUUGGCUGGGAGGUACGGGAGGGGAUUAAUCACUGGGGAAGGUGGUACGGGCUGGGAAUGCUACAAUGAGGUAGAACUGACUUGGAGUCUUGGCUUUGCCACUUCUUAGUGACUGAAGAGGGUUGACUUGGGUCCUCCCCCAAAAGAUAUGUCUAAGUCCUAACUAACUCCUGAUACAUGGGAAUGUGACCUUAUUCGGAAAUAAGGUCUUCGCAGAAGUCAUGAAAUUAAGGAUCUAGAGAUGAGGUCAUCCUGGCCUUCAAGUGGCAAAUCCAAUGGCUGGUGUCCUUCUAAGAGAAAGGAGAGAGAGAUCUAACAUACACGGAGGCACAUGGAGGGGAAGGCCUUGGGGGGAGGGAGGUGGGCAUUGGGGUGCUGCAUCUGCAAACUGAGCAAGGCCAAGGUCGGCUGCUGCCAACGGGAGGGGGGCGGGGGAGGAGUCUUUCCUGGAUGCUCCCAAAGCAGCCACCCCCCCGCCCCCCGAAUUUUUCACUCCUGGCUUCAAAUACCGUGAGAGGAUGCAUUUCUGUUGUUUCAGACCGAGUCGGGGGCAAUUUUUUAAUGGAGCCCAAGGAAACUAAUAGAGCAAACUUGUACCAUUUUCUGAAUUUAUCUAGUCCAAUGUGCUCAUCUGUGAGAUGGUAACACCCACUUCCUGAGAGGAUGUUUCUUUUAGAAAAAUUUAAAUGCUUCCUCAAGAUACUGCCUUCAGGGAUUCUGGGGUAUGGUUUUGUGUUUUAUCCACAUGGUGACCAUGAACUCAAUGGAGAAUGAAUUUCAGAGAGAUUCUAUGAAAUCUUGCAUGAUUUCGGUGCAAAAGGUUAAGAAAAGAGGAGUGUGAAUUAGUAGAACAAGCGAGCUGCCUGAGCACUCCUGUAUGAGAUACGUGUCUCCCACCUAAGUCAGCCAUUGCGAAAUGACUUCGUUCCCUCCUGGAAAGCUGAGUCCCAGGGGCUGGGGUGGGGUGGGGGGUCCCACAGUGGGCGGCUGUGUCAAGCUGCCCUCACCUCGGAUAAACACAAGCACCGUUGCUCUCCUCUGGGUCCUUUGUGUUGAUGCUGUGCUUUGACACGAAAUGCCAGACUGCAUGGAGGGUCUUUAACUGUAAACAGUAUUUUCCAGUGGAGCAAGAAGAUCUGCUGCUGCAGGAGCCCAGAAUUUCCCUAACUUACCAUCACGGUUCUGCCUGUCCCUCAUGAUGGCAGGCGAGCAUGUCACUGCUUAACCUGCAAGUCUGCAAGAGCAGUUGCUGGUACAGGUGCAGGAGCCACCUGAUGCUGUGGCCCCAGAUCACUUGUCCUUGUCACUAGGAGGAUGCCUAUUAAAGAAGCCCUGGACUCUCCAGGAUAAUCAAAUCUUAUGCUUAUCGGAAAGGAGGUGGGGUAGAAACUUAAUUUAUUAGAAACUACUCUGUGCCAGGAACAAUGUUAGUUGCAUUUACAUACAUUUUCUCAUUUAAUCCUCAUUUGAUUAACUUGGAAAGAUCCCAGCUCAAACUGGAUCUGAGGGACGUGGCCUCAAGAUGCGCUGACCAGGAACACAGCCUUCACCGGCUCUGCCCUAAGAUGCCUUUUAUUCAGGAAUCACAGUUUUGCCUCAACAGAAUCAUUCAUUCAUUUCCACUUACUCACUCAGCAGGUAUUUACUAAGUUCUUUCUGCGUGUCAGCUUUCAGGGACCCAACAGCCAGAAAUCUCCAUUCUGAGGGGCUUAUAUUCUAGCCUGGGGAGAAGACACACUAGAUUGGGAAACUGUAUGAUUUGUGCAAGGGUGCUGUGCAAGAUGGAAAAAAACAGAGCAGGAUACUGAGGUGGGGGAGUGUAGGGAUUGGUAGAUACAAUUUUUUUUUUGUUUUUUGUUUUUGUUUUUUUGUCUUUUUGCCUUUUCUAGGGCUGCUCCCACAGCAUAUGGAGGUUCCCAGGCUAGGGGUGGAAUCGGAGCU